AUAUGUUUGGAUGCGUCGAUAAGCUUGUAACCAUGGUUUAAUCCAAUUCUAUCGAUGCUUCCUUUUAAGAUUACAUUCUUGCUCCUCUCUAAGCAAGUUCCUUCUUUGCGCUCUUCUACGUCUUUCUCUCAACUCAUUUAUUUUCCUUGAUGCAAUGCUCUCGUUCUUAUUAACCAUAAUCUUACUUCAAAUACUACUAAAAUCGUCUUCCAUUGCCAAUUUUCUCACACGUUUGGUAAUUAAUUCGUAACAUUCAAAGCUAUUAUCACUUCUCGACAGUGGUGCCAAAAUGUGAUUGCUCGUUUUACUUAUUCCAAAUUAAUCUAAUGAAAAUAAACCCUUAUAGGAGGAUUUGAAUAUGGAGAAUGACUAGUUGCUUAAGCAUUCAUGUUAGGGUCACACAAUCAAUUACCUCCUGAAUGUAUUGUCUUUAUUUCCAAUAUCUGAACACACAAGGAAACUAUAAUCUCCUUCUCCAUCUUAUUGGUCUCUUCCUUAUAGUAAUUCAAUCAUACCAAUAACUGCUAUUUCCACCAAUAUAUUCACCCUCAUAAUCUCCAACUGUAAUACUACACCCUCACAGCUUUCAGCACACAAUUAUCCUCAUUCCAAUCACUAGAAUUCUUCACACAGAACUGCCAUUCACAUUACGGUGUUUCACAUAAACACAGACUCAUUCUCUCUGCUGAACUACAAUCAGAUUUCAACAUUCAAUCUUUCUUCUUCUCAAAUAAUACCAAUCACAUUUCCAUUCCAUAAUUCACUUCAUAAUAUUCAGAAACUCUCAAUCCUCUUAUUCAAAGAAAAUAACAAACAAAAGAAAAGAGGUAGCACCAAGCUUACCCGGCUCACAACUAUCACAAUGAUGGCACCUUAAUUAACUUCUACAACUCCUAUAUACUUUCCCGUGAUUCUCCAGAUUCUAAUCAUAAUUUUGUAAUUAACCGCUUUUAAGAACUAAAUUACUCAUCCGUCCUCCUGAAUUUCCUAUUAUAUGGACUAUUAAUAUAUUUUACUAAUAUCUUUCAAAAAUGAAUUAAU
rnacentral:lncRNA from 1 species